rnacentral:rRNA from 1 species
GUGCCAGCCGCCGCGGUAAUACGUAGGUCCCGAGCGUUGUCCGGAUUUAUUGGGCGUAAAGCGAGCGCAGGCGGUUAGAUAAGUCUGAAGUUAAAGGCUGUGGCUUAACCAUAGUACGCUUUGGAAACUGUUUAACUUGAGUGCAAGAGGGGAGAGUGGAAUUCCAUGUGUAGCGGUGAAAUGCGUAGAUAUAUGGAGGUACACCGGUGGCGAAAGCGGCUCUCUGGCUUGUAACUGACGCUGAGGCUCGAAAGCGUGGGGAGCAAACAGGAUUAGA